AGACCCGAAACCCGGUGAUCUAGCCAUGGGCAGGUUGAAGGUUGGGUAACACUAACUGGAGGACCGAACCGACUAAUGUUGAAAAAUUAGCGGAUGACCUGUGGCUGGGGGUGAAAGGCCAAUCAAACCGGGAGAUAGCUGGUUCUCCCCGAAAGCUAUUUAGGUAGCGCCUCGUGAAUUCAUCUCCGGGGGUAGAGCACUGUUUCGGCUAGGGGGCCAUCCCGGCUUACCAACCCGAUGCAAACUGCGAAUACCGGAGAAUGUUAUCACGGGAGACACACGGCGGGUGCUAACGUCCGUCGUGAAGAGGGAAACAACCCAGACCGCCAGCUAAGGUCCCAAAGUCAUGGUUAAGUGGGAAACGAUGUGGGAAGGCCCAGACAGCCAGGAUGUUGGCUUAGAAGCAGCCAUCAUUUAAAGAAAGCGUAAUAGCUCACUGGUCGAGUCGGCCUGCGCGGAAGAUGUAACGGGGCUAAACCAUGCACCGAAGCUGCGGCAGCGACACUGUGUGUUGUUGGGUAGGGGAGCGUUCUGUAA
rnacentral:rRNA from 1 species